rnacentral:rRNA from 1 species
UACGUAGGGACCAAGCGUUGUUCGGAUUUACUGGGCGUAAAGGGCGCGUAGGCGGCGUGUUAAGUCACUUGUGAAAUCUCUAAGCUUAACUUAGAACGAUCAAGUGAUACUGAUGUGCUAGAGUGCAGAAGGGGCAACCGGAAUUCUUGGUGUAGCGGUGAAAUGCGUAGAUAUCAAGAGGAACACCUGAGGUGAAGACGGGUUGCUGGGCUGACACUGACGCUGAGGCGCGAAAGCUAGGGUAGCAAACGGG